AAGGAAACUGGACGACCUUCGGGAGCUUGUACAGGUGCUGCAUGGCUGUCGUCAGCUCGUGUCGUGAGAUGUUCGGUUAAGUCCGCUAACGAGCGCAACCCUCGCUGUGUGUUACAAGUGUCACACGGAACUGCCGGUCAUAAACCGGAGGAAGGUGGGGAUGACGUCAAGUCAGCAUGGCCUUUAUAUCCUGGGCUACACACACGCUACAAUGGGAAGGGACAAUAGGUUGCGAAGCCGCGAGGCGGAGCCAAUCCAAGCAAAACUUCCCUCAGUUCAGAUUGCAGGCUGCAACUCGCCUGCAUGAAGUUGGAGUUGCUAGUAAACGCAGGUCAGCCAUACUGCGUUGAAUACGUUCCCGGGGCUU
rnacentral:rRNA from 1 species